UAUUACAGCCACGUUGAAUGUGCCGGUUCUCGUCCGUUUACCGAACUUAAACAACGUGGAACCUUCUGAAUACUUAGAUGGGUGACCGCUUGGGAAAACUGUGUUGUAAUGC
rnacentral:rRNA from 1 species